UAAGGAAUAUUGGUCAAUGGACGCAAGUCUGAACCAGCCAUGCCGCGUGAAGGAUGAAGGUCCUCUGGAUUGUAAACUUCUUUUAUCUGGGACGAAAACGGGAUUUUUAUCUCAAUUGACGGUACCAGAGGAAUAAGCACCGGCUAACUCCGUGCCAGCAGCCGCGGUAAUACGGAGGGUGCGAGCGUUAUCCGGAUUUACUGGGUUUAAAGGGUGCGUAGGUGGGCUUAUAAGUCAGUGGUGAAAUCUCCGAGCUUAACUUGGAAACUGCCGUUAAUACUAUAGGUCUUGAAUAUUGUGGAGGUAAGCGGAAUAUGUCAUGUAGCGGUGAAAUGCUUAGAUAUGACAUAGAACACCAAUUGCGAAGGCAGCUUACUACACAAUCAUUGACGCUGAGGCACGAAAG
rnacentral:rRNA from 1 species